rnacentral:rRNA from 1 species
CCUACGGGGGGCAGCAGUGAGGAAUAUUGGUCAAUGGACGAGAGUCUGAACCAGCCAAGUAGCGUGAAGGAUGACUGCCCUAUGGGUUGUAAACUUCUUUUAUAAAGGAAUAAAACGAGGCACGUGUGCCUUUUUGCAUGUACUUUAUGAAUAAGGAUCGGUUAACUCCGUGCCAGCAGCCGCGGUAAUACGGAGGAUCCGAGCGUUAUCCGGAUUUAUUGGGUUUAAAGGGAGCGUAGAUGGGUUGUUAAGUCAGUUGUGAAAGUUUGCGGCUCAACCGUAAAAUUGCAAUUGAUACUGGCAGUCGUGAGUACAGUUGAGGUAGGCGGAAUUCGUGGUGUAGCGGUGAAAUGCUUAGAUAUCACGAAGAACCCCGAUUGCGAAGGCAGCUUACUAAACUGUGACUGACAUUGAUGCUCGAAAGUGUGGGUAUCAAACAGGAUUAGAUACCCUGGUAGUC